rnacentral:lncRNA from 1 species
AAACCUUUAAUAAGAAUUUUGAUUUUUUUUUAUUACAAUAUUAAUUUUGCUUUCGAUGUCAUAUAUAUUAGUGUAACUAUAUACUUGUCUACAAGAGGGUUAGCAAAGCAACAAGUUCCUCACCAAAUGGAAGAAUCAAGCAUUAUUCCUAAACAAGAAGAAGAAGAUGAAAAUAUUACAAAGACAAUCCAAGCACAAGAGGUAAUGGAGGAGUUAGAAGAAUGCAAAACACCAACUAGCAACAAGAUUCCAGUUAUUAAAAACUGUCCACCUGCCCCAAGAAAAAAAAGGAGGUCAUCAUUUUCAUCACAUUCAAUCAUGAUCAAAAGAUCAUCAGCAACUGAAUUGAAAUAUGUAGUAAAGCCUAAGGAGGUAGAUUCUUUCUUCCAAUCCAUGUUUGAGCUUACUAAGGUCAUUAACAAGAGAUGUAGAAGCAUAUGAAAUUUAAUAAUUAGUUUAUUGUAGUUCUCAAGUAAUGUUAUCUACCCUUUUGAGACAAUUUCCAUAAAGAGAAAAAAUGGAAAAAUAAUAAGAUUAUGUAUGUCAAUAAUUAGUUCACAAUUCAAUUCACCAUUCUUAUAUCUAUCUAUUUCAUUGUUUAUUUCAUGGUUUGUAUUUAAAGAAUUAUAUCCAUCUUCAUAAUAAUCUAAUGCAUAUAUAAUUCCAUUCACUUUUAGUAGCUGAAUUUAAGUCUCAUGCAUAGACAUAUUUCAUCUUACCUUCACUAGACUAUGUCCAAAAACGGUAUAAUAUGUUGUGUGAAAAUCAUUACUACAUCUUUUUUCGAUACUUUCAAGGCUUCCAUGAAUGCAGUAUUUAAUUUUUGCUUUGUUUAGAUAAUAUUACAAGCAACUUGUUAUUAAAUAUAUAUAUACACACACACACACUCCCUCCCUAGGUUCUUUUUAAAUUGUCAAAUUUUUAGAACAAAAUCAUUCGCAAAUUUCAAAAUUUUAUAAACUUUAUCAUCAAUUUUUUUUCAGUUAUACACUGUUUUUUGUUUCAAUUAUACACUUACUUUGUCAAUUAUUUUUCAUUAAUACAGAAAAAAGAGUAAAUGAGCCAGCUGGACCACUGAAAUGAAUUAAUUAUAUAUUUGAAAUUUGCUAGUUAAUUAAAUUUUUUUAAAAUUAUACACUAAAAAAAAACUUAAAGACAAACAUAUCAUAACCAUCUAAUUAUAAAGUUGGCAUCUUCUUAAUUUUUCAAAAUAAAUUGAUAUCUCCAUUACUUCAACUUUUAUAUAUAAAUAUUUAAUUAAUGUUACUAUUUUGAAAAAUAUGUGUUUUUAUAUUAUUUAUUAUUUCUUAAAAAUUAUAAUAAUUGCCAUCGUAAUAAUUUUCUUUUAAAAAAUUAAGAGGAUAUUACCUUGUGAUUUUAAUAAUGAAAUGACCCCACAAAAAAGUAUUCAGCAAUCCCAAGUUGGAUAUGCUGCUGCUCCUUUAAUUAUUAAUUAAUAAUACAGCUUUCAAAUUAAAGAUACAUUUUGGAUGUUUAUGUUUUGUGUUUUAGCUUAAGUUACUAACAAGAACGAAAGAAAAGUUUAUGACUUCAAGUAGACCACAAAAGGAAACGCGAAAUUCAAUAGAAGCCUCAUUAGAAUGUUACUGAAUUGCUACUUCAAAAUGCUAGAAUUUCUCUAAGUAUUAUGACAUCAAAUAUAAACAAAAAUAUGAUUAAAAAAUAAUUGCAAAUAUGAUAUCAAAUAUAUAUUUGGUUAAAAAUUUAAAUAAAAUACAACAAUUUUAUUUAUCUUUAUUUUUAUUUUUAUUUAAAACCGGAUAUAAUGUAGCUUAAUAAUAAUCUAAAUAUUAAUAGUGUGCAAGUAUAAAAUAUCCUACGGUAGCUACAUAGUGCACGGGUUGUAUCUUGAAUCGUGUACUAUCUUUCAAAAGCUUUUUAGACAGCACUCUUAAAAUAAAAGGUGUCAUUAGAUAAUAUUUUACUAUAAAAAUGUGGUCUAAAUGAAUCAUUAGACAACAUUUUUACUUCAUUGAAAAAAUAUUGUCUAAAUAUACAACAACGCUAAAAUAAACGAUGCUAUUAAAUACUAUUAAAAGUUAGAAAAAUGUUGUUUUUUCUCAUUAGAUCUAAGGGUGGCGUAGCUGCAUGCUAUUGAAAAUCCAAGUUGAUAUAGUGCAAGUGCAAGUAAUAGAGGUAGGUGAAUUUGUAUAUGUAUGAACCAAAAGAGGAAUAAGUGAUAGAAAAGAUAUUGUGCAGGUACUAUGAUGAUUAGAACAUUUUUAUUUGUUUGUGUACAAGAACAAAAGUUGGAAAGCAAAAGAAGGAAACAAAACAACAAAAGAACGUGGAGAGAGAGGGAGAGAAAGAAAUCAUGCUCCACUCUAUUAGUUGCAUAGGGGUCAUGUCACGUUCCAAGCAAUGGUUGGUGCAUUGCUAGCUCUUCUUUGGGGACCAUGACAUUAUAUGACACCCACGAGCAGCACGGGAACACACACACAAAAAAAAAAAAAAUUGGAGUUCCAUCAUUUUUACUUUAUAACCAUACACGUCCUUCCAAUGUUUACAUCUUUUUCAAUUUAAUUUUUCACAUUAUCUUUUAUUAUUAUUAUUAUUAUUAUUAUUAUUAUUAUUAUUAUUAUUAUUAUUAUUAUUAUUAUUAUUAUUAUUAUUCAUUACUGAAGUAAUUGAAUAUCGGAUUUUGACCUGAAUAGCUAUAUCUUGGAGAUGUGGUAAAGUAAGAUUCUUCCAUCAACUUCUCGUAUACGGAGGGGGUGUACCUGCACAUACUCCAUCCAUCAAGUAAGAAUUUUCUAGGGUAUGAGAGAAAUUUAGGUUAGAAUUUGUGUGUGCCGUUAUGACUUAGAGAUAUAGAUUUAUAUAGGAAUUCCUCCUAGAGUUUCUAGAACCAUCUUCUGAUGGUAAUUAGGAAUCAAUAAAUGACUGUUUGGUACCUUCUGAUUCUAGAGAAGUGUCCAUUUGCUUUGUGAUAGAUGAUUGUCAUCUAGUGGCUAUGAUUAUGAUAGGAUUGCCAUCAAGCGAUCAUGAUUGGAAGUCCAUGUGAUCUAGGAUAGACCAUCAAUUUGGAUUCCAUUUAAGUGAGCGACUUGCCCUAGAUUCGAGAAGGUUCUGUAUUAUCACACACUGGAUCGAGUCGAACGAUAUUGGGCUUGGCUUAAGUGGAUGAAAGUUUGGCCCAUAACAAUUUCUCCCCAAGUCGGCCAUGUGAUGGAAUCAAUGAUCGAUUUGUAAUACAAAUUUGUUUAUCUUGGUCGAAGUGGGACUUCAAAUGUAAGUGAUCAUUCAUUUAUUAGUGAUUGACUUUGGAUUAGAUCGUUUUAUUUUGGGGGAAUCCCACAAUCGAGUUUAUCUAUUACUGUUAUGGAUUAUGAAGAAUUGCUUCAUUAAUUAUCGUGUCAGAGAGCCUUUCUGAGGCAUCCGUUCAAUCACUUUCUCAGGACACGUCUUAAAUCUGAGUGUUCAUCAUCACCCUAGGCGCCUAUUGGAUUUAUAAGGUUUCUUGGUCUAGACUUUUUAGAACUGUUAAAUGUGUGCGUUGGGAUUCGUGUCCAGCCUUUAAAUAUAGAUUAUAAAUAAUGGAAAUGUCUUGUGAGUUCCUUUCUUCUUCCUUGAAAUAUCUCUGAAAAAUUCUUGGGCACCUAUCGUGAACUGCUUCCUCCUUCUUUGUUCUUCACAAAACCUUAUUGAUGAGUUAUUUUUUCUUUCUUCUCUUUCUGAUUUGAUUUUAAUGUUGUUUUUUGAAUGUGUUUCUUGUUGUCAUGGUUUAGUAUUUGCACGUUGUAGCAUUACUUUGUAAUUUUUUGUUCUGACCACUAUCCAUAGUGGGUCUUGGAUGUGGUUUUGAGGGGUUUUGUUUCUUUUCCUCCACCUUGAAAGGUGGUUAUGGGCAUUUUUCCUUUUUCCCUUUCCGUUGAGGACGACCUUGGAUCCCAUCUUUGUUUCUAUAUUUAUUUAUUUAUUCCUUGCACUUAGUUUAGUUUUAUGCUUCCUUUGUCUCCUUUCAUUCCUUUUUCAUCAAAGUGCGUGAAGGGGUGUGAUUAUUGUCUUGACCCAUUCUCAUCCAUUUUGAUCGGCCAUGAUUUGAAAUGGCUGAUGAUAAGGCGUCGCCUUCGAACGUGCAAAUAUUCCCUUUGGACUUCCAAUACUUGAAUUGGGUGACUAACGAACUUUUGGGGGUUGUUUUCUGUUUUCUCGGAAGAUGGGAAUGAUUCGGAGUCGUAUUUUGGAAAAUGGGGCCAUAAGAAGAUUGGACUACUUGGAGACCUGAGUAGACAAAAAUGAUAUGAAGUGACUCUGAAAAUUGUGCGAUUCCUAUGUACGACUAUUUUUUUACACAUAUGGGGUUCCAUAAUCCCUUUAGAUCGUUUGGGAUAGCGAUCUUGGAUCAUCUCCAGUUUGCCCCUUCUCAACUUCACCUGAACUAUUUGGCUUAUGAUAAAUGCUUUCCAAAUCAGUUGUCAUUUCUUGAAAUUAACCCCUUAUGUUCCUUUCUUUUUUAAUAUCUUUGUGUUGCUUUGGUAUAAGGAGAAUUCUAUAUUGAAAUAAGGGCACAUGUGUUUUAAACAAAAGAAGAAAUGUUUCAUGGCCUUCAAGGACUUACUGAAAGGGUUCAAAAGAAGGUAUUACUAUAUUGUGGCAAGGUCGAAAAAUGUUCAUAUAAAUUUAUGUAUCAUCAAUCUUGUUUAUGAUUGAAACAUGGAUAUUGUACAAAGAUGGAAAACCAAAUACAACUUGCAAGGAUCGAUAUCCAAAGGUUUGGACUAGGAGACACUUCAAUCUUAGACGAUAUGAACUAGCAUAUAAGAUUGAAAAGCUUAUUCAUGUCAAUCUCUAUAAUGUUAAUUGUUUACGAUCCUUUGUUAAUACUUUUGAAAAGGAGUUUAGUGUUGAUAAGAAAGGAAAUCUUAUACUAGAUACAGAGGAAAAUCGUCAAUAUGUUUCUUGUUGUAUACAUACCCAUGAACUUUUAGCUUGUCGUGAUCAAGAGGGGGCUAACUAUCUCUUAGGUUAUCACUAGAUUGAUUUUAUGUUGUUUAGACUAAUUUUUGUUUGUUUCCUUAAUUCUAACUUUUCCUUUUAUUUCUUUGUUUCCUUAAUUCUAACUUUUCCUUUUAUUUCUUUGUUUCAUUGAAGUACAAGCCGAAUGGUACUACAACUUCUUUAUCAACUCCUUUUCAGGUUCCUCUAAUCCAG